rnacentral:rRNA from 1 species
CAGUCGCCACGGUAAUACGUAGGUGGCAAGCGUUGUCCGGAAUUAUUGGGCGUAAAGCGCGCGCAGGCGGCCUAUCCAGUCUGUCUUAAAAGUUCGGGGCUCAACCCCGUGAUGGGAUGGAAACUAGUAGGCUAGAGUAUCGGAGAGGAAAGCGGAAUUCCUAGUGUAGCGGUGAAAUGCGUAGGUAUUAGGAAGAACACCAGUGGCGAAGGCGGCUUUCUGGACGAAAACUGACGCUGAGGCGCGAAAGCUAGGGGAGCGAACGGGAUUAGAUACCCCGGUAGUCCCUGUCUCUUAUACA